AUGGCCGCCUCGUGCAGGGAGCUGGCCGGGGCCGGCCUAGCGCGGCCGGCGACCUCGAGUUCGCAGCCCGGCCGGAGCCGGAACCAGCUCUGCUUCGCGCCGAUGCGGCAAGAAGAGCGGCAAGGGAGGAGCAGCAGGAGGGGCGUGAAGGUGGUGGUGGCGGCCGUGAGCGAGGAGCUGCCGAGGCUGGCGUCGGCCGGGAAGGGCGCGGGGGCGGCGGUGAGGCCGCCGCAGGGGAAGGUGGCGCUGCGGGCGGCGCUGACGGUGCGGCGGAAGCAGAAGGAGGACCUCAAGGAGGCGGUGGCGGGGCACCUGGACGCGCUCUGGGACAUGGUCGGCCGGGGCGUCGUGCUCGAGCUCGUCAGCACCAAGAUCGAUCCAAGGACGAGGAAGGCGGCGCGGAGCGGCGGGGCGUCGGUCAAGGACUGGUGCGCGAAGCGGGGCGCCAAGGGGGAGCACGUGGUGUACACGGCGGAGUUCACGGUGGACGCCGGCUUCGGCGAGCCGGGCGCCAUCGUCGUGGCCAACCGGCACCACCGCGAGUUCUUCCUCGAGAGCGUCGUCGUCGAGGGCAGCGCGCUGCCCUGCGGCACCGUCUACUUCGACUGCAACUCCUGGGUGCAGACCACCGGGGACCUGCCCGGCGACGGCAACAGGGUCUUCUUCAGCAACAAGCCGUAUUUACCGUCUCAAACACCUCCCGGGCUUAGAGAAAUAAGGGAGAAGGUGCUGAGAGAUCUACGAGGAGAUGGUACCGGGGUUCGAAAGAUAUCUGACCAAAUAUAUGAUUAUGCCAUGUACAACGAUCUGGGGAAUCCAGACCGGGGUAAAGAGUUCAUCAGACCCAUCCUUGGAGGCGACAAGAUCCCUUACCCACGUCGAUGUCGGACCGGUCGUCCACCAACUGAUACUAACAUGCUAUCUGAGAGCAGGGUGGAGAAGCCGCAUCGAAUAUACGUACCUCGAGAUGAGACAUUUGAGGAGCUGAAACAGGGAGCCUUUAUAUCAGGGAGGCUCCGAGCAGUACUUCACACCCUAAUCCCCUCGCUAAUUGCAUCAAUCUCAGCUGACACCCACAACUUCCAAGGCUUCCACCACGUUGACAACCUGUACAAGGAGGGUCUCAGGCUCAAGCUAGGCCUCCAGGAGCACCUGUUUCAGAAGAUACCAUUUGUACAAAAGAUUCAGGAGUCGAGCGAAGGGAUGCUUCGCUAUGACACACCUAGCAUCCUUUCCAAGGACAAGUUUGCAUGGCUCCGCGACGACGAGUUUGCACGGCAGGCUAUUGCCGGAAUAAACCCAGUUAGCAUCGAGAGGCUCACGGUUUUCCCACCAGUGAGCAAGCUGGAUCCUGCAAUCUAUGGUCCACCAGAAUCAUCAAUUACCGAAGGGCACAUUGCUGGUCAGCUCAAUGGAUUGACAGUACAAGAGGCAAUAGAUAAGGAGAAGCUCUUCAUUGUAGACCAUCAUGAUGUGUACAUGCCAUUCUUGGAUCGGAUCAAUGCGAUUGAGGGACGGAAAGCAUACGCAACCCGUGCAAUCUUCUUCCUGACUCAAGGUGGCACAUUGAAACCGAUCGCGAUUGAGCUUUCUCUUCCACCAGCCCAGUCAGGGGAGCCUCAGCCAAGCAGGGUUCUUACCCCUGCCUGUGACGCUACAUCCAACUGGAUCUGGAUGCUUGGCAAGGCGCAUGUCAGCUCCAAUGAUGCCGGUGUUCAUCAGCUUGUUAAUCACUGGUUGAGGACGCAUGCUAUAAUGGAGCCAUUCAUCCUGGCGGCGCACCGGCGUAUGAGCGCAAUGCACCCGAUCUUCAAGCUCCUGCACCCUCACAUGAGGUACACGCUGGAGAUAAAUGCGCUUGCGCGGCAGAGCUUGAUCAAUGCCGAAGGGGUGAUCGAGUCCUGCUUCACCCCUGGCCCUGUCUCUGGCGAGAUCAGCUCGGCAUACUAUUGCAACCACUGGCGCUUCGACCUUGAGGGCCUCCCCGCCGACCUCCUCCGCAGGGGAGUGGCUGUGGAGGACGCCACACAGCCUCACGGCAUCAGGCUUCUCAUCGAGGAUUACCCUUAUGCAAACGAUGGGCUUCUGUUGUGGUCCGCCAUUGGCAACUGGGUGGAGUCCUACGUGCAGCUCUACUACCCGGACGCCGGCACGGUCCAGUCCGACGACGAGCUCCAAGAGUGGUACCACGAGUCGAUCCACGUCGGCCACGCCGACCUCCGGGACGCGCCCUGGUGGCCGCCGCUGUCCACGCCGCGUGACCUCGCCAACAUCCUGACCACGCUCGUCUGGCUCGCGUCGGCGCAGCACGCGGCGCUCAACUUCGGGCAGUACCCGCUGGGCGGCUACGUCCCGAACCGGCCACCGCUGAUGCGGCGGCUGCUGCCGGACCCGGAGCGCGACGCGGCGGAGUACGCCAUGUUCCUGGCGGACCCGCACCGGUUGUUCCUCAACGCGAUGCCCGGGGUGCUGGAGGCGACCAAGUUCAUGGCGGUGGUGGACACGCUGUCGACGCACUCCCCCGACGAGGAGUACCUGGGCGAGAGCCUCGACGAGGGCGCGGCGCCGUGGACGGGCGACGAGGAGGCCCUCGCGGCGCACGGCAUGUUCGCGGCCGACGUGCGCCGCGCCGAGGAGACCAUCGAGAGGCGCAACGCCGACCACGGCAGGCGGAACCGGUGCGGCGCCGGGGUGCUGCCGUACGAGCUGCUGGCCCCCAGCUCGCCGCCGGGGGUCACCUGCCGCGGCGUGCCCAACAGCAUCUCCAUAUGA
rnacentral:rRNA from 1 species